rnacentral:rRNA from 1 species
UACGAGUGCCCCAAGCGUUAUCCGGAAUUAUUGGGCGUAAAGGGUCAGUAGGCGGUUUUGUUAGUCUUCUGUCAAAUUCUUCGGCUUAACCGGGGGUCCGCAGGGGAAACGGCAAAACUUGAGGAUGCGAGGGGUGAAUGGAACUCAUAGUGUAGGGGUGAAAUCCGUUGAUAUUAUGGGGAACACCAAAAGCGAAGGCAAUUCACUGGCGCACUCCUGACGCUGAAUGACGAAAGCGUGGGUAGCGAAUGGG